rnacentral:rRNA from 1 species
CAGUAGCCACGGGAAUACGUGGGUGGCAAGCGUUGUCCGGAAUUAUUGGGCGUAAAGGGCUCGCAGGCGGUUUCUUAAGUCUGAUGUGAAAGCCCCCGGCUCAACCGGGGAGGGUCAUUGGAAACUGGGAAACUUGAGUGCAGAAGAGGAGAGUGGAAUUCCACGUGUAGCGGUGAAAUGCGUAGAGAUGUGGAGGAACACCAGUGGCGAAGGCGACUCUCUGGUCUGUAACUGACGCUGAGGAGCGAAAGCGUGGGGAGCGAACAGGAUUAGAUACCCCCGUAGUCCCUGUCUCUUAUAC